rnacentral:ncRNA from 1 species
GUACGAGAGGACCGGAGUGGACGAACCUCUGGUGUACCGGUUAUGACGCCAGUCGUAUUGCCGGGUAGCUAAGUUCGGAAGAGAUAACCGCUGAAAGCAUCUAAGCGGGAAACUUGCCUCAAGAUGAGACUUCCCUGAGGGUAUAACCCUCCUAAAGGUUCGUUCGAGACCAGGACGUUGAUAGGUCGGAUGUGGAAGCGCAGUAAUGUGUUAAGCUAACCGAUACUAAUUGACCGUGAGGCUUGAUCCU